AGAGUUUGAUCCUGGCUCAGAACGAACGCUGGCGGCGUGGAUAAGACAUGCAAGUCGAACGAGAGAAUUGCUAGCUUGCUAAUAAUUCUCUAGUGGCGCACGGGUGAGUAACACGUGAGUAACCUGCCCCCGAGAGCGGGAUAGCCCUGGGAAACUGGGAUUAAUACCGCAUAGUAUCGAAAGAUUAAAGCAGCAAUGCGCUUGGGGAUGGGCUCGCGGCCUAUUAGUUAGUUGGUGAGGUAACGGCUCACCAAGGCGAUGACGGGUAGCCGGUCUGAGAGGAUGUCCGGCCACACUGGAACUGAGACACGGUCCAGACACCUACGGGUGGCAGCAGUCGAGAAUCAUUCACAAUGGGGGAAACCCUGAUGGUGUGACGCCGCGUGGGGGAAUGAAGGUCUUCGGAUUGUAAACCCCUGUCAUGUGGGAGCAAAUUAAAAAGAUAGUACCACAAGAGGAAGAGACGGCUAACUCUGUGCCAGCAGCCGCGGUAAUACAGAGGUCUCAAGCGUUGUUCGGAAUCACUGGGCGUAAAGCGUGCGUAGGCUGUUUCGUAAGUCGUGUGUGAAAGGCGCGGGCUCAACCCGCGGACGGCACAUGAUACUGCGAGACUAGAGUAAUGGAGGGGGAACCGGAAUUCUCGGUGUAGCAGUGAAAUGCGUAGAUAUCGAGAGGAACACUCGUGGCGAAGGCGGGUUCCUGGACAUUAACUGACGCUGAGGCACGAAGGCCAGGGGAGCGAAAGGGAUUAGAUACCCCUGUAGUCCUGGCAGUAAACGGUGCACGCUUGGUGUGCGGGGAAUCGACCCCCUGCGUGCCGGAGCUAACGCGUUAAGCGUGCCGCCUGGGGAGUACGGUCGCAAGAUUAAAACUCAAAGAAAUUGACGGGGACCCGCACAAGCGGUGGAGUAUGUGGCUUAAUUCGAUGCAACGCGAAGAACCUUACCUGGGCUUGACAUGUAAUGAACAACAUGUGAAAGCAUGCGACUCUUCGGAGGCGUUACACAGGUGCUGCAUGGCCGUCGUCAGCUCGUGUCGUGAGAUGUUUGGUUAAGUCCAGCAACGAGCGCAACCCCUGUUGCCAGUUACCAGCACGUGAAGGUGGGGACUCUGGCGAGACUGCCCAGAUCAACUGGGAGGAAGGUGGGGACGACGUCAGGUCAGUAUGGCCCUUAUGCCCAGGGCUGCACACGUACUACAAUGCCCAGUACAGAGGGGGCCGAAGCCGCGAGGCGGAGGAAAUCCUGAAAACUGGGCCCAGUUCGGACUGUAGGCUGCAACCCGCCUACACGAAGCCGGAAUCGCUAGUAAUGGCGCAUCAGCUACGGCGCCGUGAAUACGUUCCCGGGUCUUGUACUCACCGCCCGUCA
rnacentral:rRNA from 1 species